AAGGCAAGCGGAUCUCUUAAAGCUGUUCUCAGUUCGGACUGCAGUCUGCAACUCGACUGCACGAAGCUGGAAUCGCUAGUAAUCGCGGAUCAGCACGCCGCGGUGAAUACGUUCCCGGGCCUUGUACACACCGCCCGUCACACCAUGGAAGUCUGCAAUGCCCGAAGCCGGUGGCCUAACCACUUAUGUGGAAGGAGCCGUCUAAGGCAGGGCAGAUGACUGGGGUGAAGUCGUAACAAGGUACC
rnacentral:rRNA from 1 species